rnacentral:rRNA from 7 species
ACCUGCGGAGGGAUCAUUG